rnacentral:rRNA from 1 species
CCUACGGGAGGCAGCAGUGAGGAAUAUUGGUCAAUGGGCGCGAGCCUGAACCAGCCAAGUAGCGUGAAGGAUGACUGCCCUCCGGGUUGUAAACUUCUUUUAUAAAGGAAUAAAGUGAGGCACGUGUGCCUUUUUGUAUGUACUUUAUGAAUAAGGAUCGGCUAACUCCGUGCCAGCAGCCGCGGUAAUACGGAGGAUCCGAGCGUUAUCCGGAUUUAUUGGGUUUAAAGGGAGCGUAGAUGGGCUGUUAAGUCAGUUGUGAAAGUUUGCGGCUCAACCGUAAAAUUGCAAUUGAUACUGGCAGCCUUGAGUACAGUAGAGGUAGGCGGAAUUCGUGGUGUAGCGGUGAAAUGCGUAGAGAUCACGAAGAACUCCGAUUGCGAAGGCAGCUUACUAAACUGUCACUGACAUUGAGGCUCGAAAGUGUGGGUAUCAAACAGGAUUAGAUACCCGGGUAGUC